AGUGAACGCUGGCGGUAGGCCUAACACAUGCAAGUCGAACGGCAGCACAGUAAGAGCUUGCUCUUACGGGUGGCGAGUGGCGGACGGGUGAGGAAUACAUCGUAAUCUACUUUUUCGUGGGGGAUAACGUAGGGAAACUUACGCUAAUACCGCAUACGACCUACGGGUGAAAGCAGGGGAUCUUCUGACCUUGCGCGAUUGAAUGAGCCGAUGUCGGAUUAGUUAGUUGGCGGGGUAAAGGCCCACCAAGGCGGCGAUACGUAGCUGGUCUGAGAGGAUGAUCAGCCACACUGGAACUGAGACACGGUCCAGACGCCUACGGGAGGCAGCAGUGGGGAAUAUUGGACAAUGGGCGCAAGCCUGAUCCAGCCGUACCGCGUGGGUGAAGAAGGCCUUCGGGUUGUAAAGCCCUUUUGUUGGGAAAGAAAAGCAGCAGGUUAAUACGCCGCUGUUCUGACGGUACCCAAAGAAUAAGCACCGGCUAACUUCGUG
rnacentral:rRNA from 1 species